rnacentral:rRNA from 1 species
AGCGCAGACGGUUUAUUAAGUCUGAUGUGAAAGCCCGGAGCUCAACUCCGGAAUGGCAUUGGAAACUGGUUAACUUGAGUGCAGUAGAGGUAAGUGGAACUCCAUGUGUAGCGGUGGAAUGCGUAGAUAUCAGGAAGAACACCGAUGGCGAAGGCAGCCGGCUGGGGACUUACUGACGCUGAGGCUCGAAAGCGCGGGUAGCAAACA